UACGGAGGGUGCGAGCGUUGUUCGGAAUCACUGGGCGUAAAGCGCGUGUAGGCGGCCCACUAAGUCUGAUGUGAAAGCCCGGGGCUCACCCCCCGGAAGUGCAUUGGAAACUGGUGGACUAGAGUCCCGGAGAGGAGAGUGGAAUUCCAGGUGUAGCGGUGAAAUGCGUAGAUAUCUGGAGGAAUACCGGUGGCGAAGGCGGCAUCCUGGACCGGCAUUGACGCUGAGGAGCGAAAGCUAGGGGAGCAAACAGG
rnacentral:rRNA from 1 species